CAGUAGCCGCGGUAAUACGGAGGGUGCAAGCGUUAAUCGGAAUUACUGGGCGUAAAGCGCACGCAGGCGGUCUGUUAAGUCAGAUGUGAAAUCCCCGGGCUCAACCCGGGAACUGCAUUUGAAACUGGCAGGCUUGAGUCUUGUAGAGGGGGGUAGAAUUCCAGGUGUAGCGGUGAAAUGCGUAGAGAUCUGGAGGAAUACCGGUGGCGAAGGCGGCCCCCUGGACAAAGACUGACGCUCAGGUGCGAAAGCGUGGGGAGCAAACAGGAUUAGAUACCCGCGUAGUCCGUCUCUUAUACAC
rnacentral:rRNA from 1 species